ensembl:misc_RNA Metazoa_SRP Metazoan signal recognition particle RNA
GCACAGUGGCGCGCACCUGUAGUCCCAGCUACUUGGGAGGCUGAGGAGGAUCGAUUGAGUCUAGGAGUUCUGUGCUGUCAUGCGCUAUACCGAUCAGGUGUCCGCACUUAGUUCAGCAUCAAUAUGGUGACUUCCCAGGAGCGGGAGACCACCACGUUGCCUAAGGAGGGGUGAACCAGCCCAUGUCGGAAACGGAGCAGGUCAAAACUCCAGUGCUGAUCAGAAACUUGUAUUUUUAAAAAGCAUGGUUAUUCCCCUGACACAUUUGGCAAGUACACACUUUCUUCUU